UACGUAGGGGGCAAGCGUUGUCCGGAAUCAUUGGGCGUAAAGCGCGUGUAGGCGGCCCGAUAAGUCCGCUGUGAAAGUCCAGGGCUCAACCCUGGAAUGCCGGUGGAUACUGUCGGGCUCGAGUCCGGAAGAGGCGAGUGGAAUUCCUGGUGUAGCGGUGAAAUGCGCAGAUAUCAGGAAGAACACCCGUGGCUAAGGCGGUUCUCUAGUACGGUACUGACGCUGAGACGCGAAAGCGUGGGGAGCGAACAGG
rnacentral:rRNA from 1 species